rnacentral:rRNA from 1 species
UACGAAGGGUGCAAGCGUUACUCGGAAUCACUGGGCGUAAAGCGUGCGUAGGCGGUUUCUUAAGUCUGUCGUGAAAGCCCUGGGCUCAACCUGGGAAUGGCGAUGGAUACUGGGAGGCUAGAGUGUGAUUAGAGGAUGGGUGGAAAUUCCCGGGUGUAGCGGUGAAAUGCGUAGAGAUCGGGAGGAACACCAGUGGCGAAGGCGGACCAUCUGGAUCAACACGUGACGCUGAGGCACGAAAGCGUGGGGAAGCCAAAGCAGGGAUUAAGAAACCCGGAGUAACGUC